AGAAAGCAAAGGGAACAGAGAGAAAGGUGUCAGGCACCCUAGCAGAAUGUGUCUGCAGGCGUUUGUGUCCUAGGCAACCUAGGGAACAAAGUCUGACCAAUAUUUCAAAAGGAUUCCCCAAGCCUCACGCUCAUUCUGCACACAAAGGCUGGGUUCCAAGGCUGGACUUGUCACUCUUGCGGUCACUUAGUGUACAGUCAUUGGUCAUACCUCUGCCACCUGCAGAAAUGCAAAGCGCUGUCUCCAACUCCUACCUCCACCUUGUAAUUACACAGACCCUGUUUUCAGGAUGAGCUCAUUCUCCACACAGACAUGACCUCACCUGGGCUUGACAUUUUCACAAAAGGGCUGGUGCAUUAACGUGCGGGGAGUGACGCGGGACAUCAAAGGCGGUGAGCACCUUGCCUGGGGGAUACGCACUCAAGUCAGGUGGAGCCCCGUCGGCGGUGGUGUGUGACAUCAGAUCUUGGAUUCUCCACCUGUGUAGGUGGCACUGGGCGAGAGGACUGGGCUUUGGACUUCUCACCUUUCUGAGUGCCGCUGGUUGGGCGUAGAAAACGGAGGAAGCGGCUGCGGCCCAGGAGGAAACAGGUGCCAGCCAGCAAUCAACUCUUCAUGGAAAGGAGCUGUUGUUCUUGGAAACCAAUUCCAGUUAUCAGGGAACAGCCGCAGGCUUCCUACCUCGUUUGUAGUGGGGAAAUAAGAUUCACGAGGCUGAUGCUCGCCCCAGGUGCACGCCCAACAGUGCGGUAAGGAAAGCUGCGGGAGGAAGAUUACAUUGCAUCUCCGUGUGGCUCUCCAGGUCCGCCGCGGGGCUCAGGUCACCUGCCAGGGCCUUCGCGGAAAUAUCCA